UAUUGAAUUGUACCGAUCAUAUUUACACUAUUUUGGUCCAGGCAGGACUGCAUGCUUUCCGGGGCGGUAGCGAAAUUCCUUGAGGAAAAGAUAGUAUUACCGAUCUACAGAAGCGUCUGAGAUGUAUGAAGGGUGCUUAAUGGGGAAGGCCAACAAGCGGAGAAAGUCUCUUUUCAUGAAGGUUGCAGAUCAUUCGAUCUAGGUAGCAGCGGGACUUCACUAAUAUGUCAAACGGGAAUGAAUCAAGAUUAAUCCAAGGAUCGUUGAAGAUGUUGGAUAAAUUGGAUCGCAAAUACUUGCAUGUUUCCAAGCAUCCAGUAGGUAUUGAUUUCCGUGUCAAUAAGAUUAUUUUGUUGGUAAAAAUUGCUACAGACGAUGCUUACGUUGUGGCCAUAGAUGGGAUGAGAGGAGUAGGCAAGAAAACUAUAACAAAGGUUGUGCUUAACGAAUGUUAAAUGUUUGAGAGAAUUUGUUUUCUUUUGAAUGUCGGAGAAAUCUCAAUGUAAUUGGAAGGUCUGGUUCAAUUACAAGAACAAUUUCUUGAACUAAAGAUUCUAAAGAUAAAAAUGCUUUAAGAGGAAUCAAUUUGAUCAAAGAAUGAGGAAGGGAUUUGAUCAAAGAAUGAGUUUGCCGCCAAAAAGCUCUUGUUGUUCUUGAUGAUGUAGAUAAAUUGGAACAAUUAGAUGCCUUGUUUGGAGAGCGAAGUUGGUUUAGUUCUAAAAGCAGAAUAAUCAUUACAUCUAGAAAUGAUCAUUUGCUAAAUGAAAUUGAACCAGAUGAAAAGAAUUAGCUACAAAGUUGGAUUGGCAUGCCUAUAGGAGCACCCAUCCGAAUGAGAUUGUGUGGAGCUUUUGGAUAGUGUAGUGGACUAGGACUUCCUUUAGCUCUUGAAGUUUUGAGUUCUUAUUUGUUCAAAAGAAGUAUACUUGUAUGGAAAAGUGUUAAUGAGAAACUACAAAAAAAUUCCAUACCAACAAAUUCAGAGAAAUUCAGAAUAUGUUUUGACACACUAGAUGAUGAUACUGUGAGCCAUAUUCCUUGAUAUUGCAUGCUUUUUCUUUGAUUCGGACAAAGAAUAUAUAGCUGAGAUGCUAUAUGGCCAUGGUUGCUUUCAAGAAAUUAGUAUUGGUAUUCUCAUUGUGAGGCCUCUUUUAACUAAUAUCAACUUGAAUAAGUUAGAGAUGCAUGAUUUGUUACGAGAUAUGGGAAGAGAGAUUGCUCGUGAAAUGUCACCUGAUCAGGAAAACGCAGCAGAAUUUAGCUUCCCGAGGAUGUGCAGGAUGUCCUCAACAUUAGGAUGGGAACGUAAGCUGUGGAGGGGUUCGCACUAGGUGUAAAUAGUUGUACAUUUUACAUCAAAAACUCUACCUAUAAGCACUAAAUCAUUUGUAAGGAUGAGAUAUUUAAUGCCCUUUGAAAUCUUUACCAUCCAAUUUUCAACUGAAGAGCCUAGUUGUUCUUGCUAUGCAGAACAGCAACAUCAAAGAAUUCUUGAAUCAGAUCAAGCUUCUCAACAAGAUGAAAAUCCCAAGUCUCAGCUAUUCCAAAAACCUUGUUAAGACACCAAACUUUCACAGUUCAGGUCUAGAGAAACUAAUACUCAGAAGCUUCUUGAGAAAUUGGAUUUAUCAGGAAACAUAUCCUUUAAAUACCUUCUAGAGUCACCUGCCUUUCUAAGCUAGAGCGUGUGUUCGUUAUGAACUGCAUAGAUCUUCUAUCAAUCUCGGAGUUCCCUUCAUGUUCAAAGGAGUUUUACGCUCUUCAUUUCACAUCAAUGGAAAGACUCUGAAGUCAUACAAAAUCAGUACCUCCACUGUUCUUGAGUGGGUGCCAAAAACUAAUUGAGAUUCAUGGCAUGAAAGGUGUCAGUGUCUGGCCCAUUCUGUUGGAUGACCGCAGCAAUGUAGCAAAUAAUUUUAAGAAGACUCUUGCUCAGGCUUUGUUCAAGGGUGAGCACAGUAUGAUAUUUUACACCCAGUGGUGAGAUACCAGGUUGGUUCAGCUAUCGUGGAGACCGGUCGUCAUUAUCAUUUUAUGUUCCAGCAGUUGCAGAUAGGUAACUCCAAGCAUUGGUUGUUUGGUUAUUUACGUAGUCAUUGCAGCAAAUGAAGGAUCAUUUGGUGUUGCGCAUGCCUCUACUGUGAUAAGAUAUAAUUAGUAAUUAUAUUCAAUUCUUCGAAAGGUUGUUUCCGAGUGGUAAAAUAUCCACCAACCAUUCUUUGGUGAAAUACUUGCCAUUUACUGAGCUUCCAUGUGCAAUGGAAGGUGGAGAGGCAUUGAAACUAUACGUGGAAGUAAAGGAAGAUAACGCUAUAGUAGAAAAUUUUGGUGUCCAUACAAUAGUUGAGAAGCUAUAUGGGGGGGACGGCCAAGGAACUUCGUUACCAUAGCCCCCAGCAUCUCCAGAUGAACAGCAGCUGGAGAGGAGAUGUGUUGCCAUUUACGUGCUUGUCCACGUCCUUGACACGGGAGAUUUGGCUUGAGGAGUUCUUGUAAUCUUGUAAUCUAUCUAUCAUUCCUUAUUAUUCGUCAGAAAAACAAACUUCAUGUCAAAUUCUUCUUUUUGGCAGGCACAUGGUCUUUGCCGCAAUCAAUCUCAUUUAUCAAUGAGUUCUUCA